GGCUCUUUUCUUAAAACAAAAUAGGAAAUACGACAGAUGCAUGCAUUUUAUGGUCAAACUGGAAAUAUUUUUAUAUUGCAAGAGAUACGACUGAAUGUUGGAUUUUUUUUUCCUUUUUAUUAAAUUUAACAUUCACAAGAAAAAUGAAAUGCAUGCCCGGAUGUAAUAUUAUAGCCUACAAGAGGAAAAACAAACAGGGGCAACCACAUCAUGGUUGGCAGGGGAGAUGGUGCCGUUAAUGCUGGAUUGGGAAGCAGAAUCCCGCAUUUGCAGCCUCCCGCACAAGAUGCGAUGGCAGAGUUUGACCACAAGGCGGCGACAACGCGAGGCCCAACUCUUCCUGAUUAGAGUUUAGCAGCAACCAUGAGACCUCGGAUGCUCUUUAAUGAGACACAAUGACACGUUUCAGCCUCUGCAACUCGCUUUUAAACACUAACAGGGCACUAAAGAAGUCGUCGGCAUGAUACUAUGAGCUGGACGCUUUAUCCCCGCAUACAAUGCGGAGCCAGUCAGAACAUCCUGUAAUCAGAACACCCCUCAAUCUCUACAAAUCGCCCAGGUCAGAUCAAAGCGAUGCUUGAACACAUCAAUCAGUGUGCGGACAGGCGCACAGGCUGCGGAUCACCCCGCAAAGAUCCCUUUUUUUUUUUUUUUUUUUUUGUUAGUCGCAGGAGCAAAUGGAAAGCUACCGGUUACGGUAUCGCCUUAUUGGCCUCAGCUGAUGGUCGAUGAUGGGACGAUGCACACACACAAACGCACACACACACCUAGUAGCUGCUGGCACCACAUCGAUUCUCUGGCGGCUGUGCGUGGAAGCUGUCACUUCACCGCCGGCGACCUUUGUGGGGCUGCAGAGUAGCAGCGUUUACAGAGAGACACACCCGCAUUUAGACUGUCAGGGGGUGAGGGGUCGGAAGGCUGCUGGGAGGAUGCACGAACAUCCUCAUGCACACACACACACACACACGCCCACAUACACAUACCCACACACACAUGUUUUACAAAAGUUUUAAGAGGGUGUUAAAAUCAGUUUGGAGUUUGCGUCGUUGAAGCAGAAAGUGCCCGCAGAAUAUUUCACCACAAUUACAGAUUCUAAAAAAAAAAAACACUUGGAAUUUAACCAAUAGGAGCAACAUUUUGCGGACAAUUUAAUUUAGAUGGCUUUGAUUAAAUUCUCUGAAUCUAAAUGUUAACAUCUAAAUGAUAACAAUUAUUUUUGCGAGUUGGCAAGAAAUGUUUCAAAUGUAUACUUAAAAAUAGUUAAAAUCUCACUAAAUGUGAAUAUCAUAUUACUCAAAUGAAUUACGUUCUGAGUAAGUUCUAAAGGAAAUUUACAUUUCAUUAAUGAAAUGGAAGUACAAAACAUCAGGAUGCCAGCAUAAAUAGAAAUUGCUACCCUGGCUAGCAUGUUUGGCAUUGGCAUUAGCUCUGUCUCUAAACUAGCUGGAUACAAACCUUAACUCUUCCUCCAAAGUUUAUCCACUAAGUUUUUAAUAAUAAUCCCAAGUAAACCCAUAUUAACAUACAUACCUUACCUUUCUCUGCUGGACUCCACACAUGAUGACUGAGGAUGAUGGCUGACUGAACCAAUAUCUUGUGUGUGUGUGUGUGUGUGGUGUGUGUGUGUGUGUGUGUGUGUGUGUGUGUGCAUGUGUGUGCGUGUGUGUGUUUUCUUGCCGUCACAAAUAUUUUCAAUUUCUUUGAGAACAGACAUAAACAGCAGGAUCUAACCAUGCAUCUAUCCAACCAUUGUCUACCCGCUUGUCCUUGCAGGUUUGCUGGGGAGCUGGUGCCUAUCUCCAGCGGUUAUCAUGUGAGUUGUGGGUUACACCCUGGAUGAGUCAGAAUGUAAUCAGCAUAAAGGAAAGUCAUUUUAGUAGUUUCUCAAUGAGCACAUCAAAAGGUAUCAUUUUUCUACUUAUGAGCUUUGAUUCCUUAAUUAUGCCACCAACAUUUUGUAUAUGAAAUUAUAGAAAAGGGUUUUCCAUAACAAAGCUGUUAAAAAUCCAGCAAGUUUGUACUGUAAAAAUAGUAAAUUCUAACCAGUAUUCUUUUCAUUCUGAUUCUUUCAACUGUUUUCUCUUUUGGUUUCUCUAGUAUCAUCUAUCUAUAGUUCUAUAAUCUAUAUAAAGUCAGUUGCAUGUGUUGCAGAGAACAGCGGCAGUCAUGUCAUUAGAUCUGAGCAAAUAAAAUAAUAAAAACAAAAAAUCCAAUUUUAAAACAAAUAAAUCAGAUAAUUUGGGGAAUUCAGUUUGCACACAUGAUCAAACCUAAGUCUGACUUGGGAGAAUGCUUCAUGGACAUUUUAUGUGAGCCGGAGGAACUCAUGAAAAAUAGCAGGGGUGUCAAGAGUCGGCGUGAGGGCCGUACCUGACCGUCCCAUCAAAGUUGUCCUUGACAGAUGAUGGGGGUGGGGGUUCAGGAGGAUUAUAUUGAUUAAAAUCCCCAAACUGGACAGGUUGUCUAACGGUAUGUAAAGAAGUCAGAGUGGGUAAUCAAACCUGUAUCUUUCCCAUAUUCUUUCUGCUUUCUUAGAUUUUUGUUAAAAAGAUAAACAACAUUCUAACCAAGUGGGAGCAUCAGCCUGUUACAGCACCAAAACAAAGCAAUAUAAGUUCAGCAUUGUUUUGCCUUCUAUGUUUUGAAGUUUCUGACUUCUGCAAAUAUCAUACAUGUGCUCGGCUUUUUGGUGAGUCUGUGUGUGUGUGUGUGUGUGUGUGUGUGUGUGUGUGUGUGUGUGUGUGUGUGUGUAGUCAGGGUAAGAACUUGUGGUUAAAAGGACAGCUAGAGAAUGCUGUGCUCCCUGAAUAUUUCCCACAGGUUGCUGACACAGUUGGGAGGAAAAAGAUAGAUUGUGAUUUUUAGAUAUUUGAUUCCAAAGUUUGGUUUCUUCUCUGAAUUUAAUCGAAGGAUUACCUUAACUGAACUACAGUUCAGAUAAAAAAUGGUAUUUCGUCAUGAGUAACCUGAUGUGAGUGAUGGUGUUACAAGAGUUAGGUUAGCUACCUGGAAGAAUAGUCAAAAAGAGACACAUAGGAGAAAGAAAUGAGACAAAUCUUUAUUGUCAUUGUCACUUUUGCAAGCAUAACUAAAUUGAAGGGUUCAGUUGACUUAGUGUUAGGCUUAAGAAAAGUAAAAUAACAAUAAAAAUAAAAUAGCAUUAAUAAAAACAAAAUAGCAAUAAAGUGCCUUACAAAGUGUUCAUAGCCUUUGAACCUUUUCACAUUUUAUCAUGUUAUGACCAGAAACCUUCUGUAUUUGCAUCAUUUUCAAGUGAAAAACAAAGGAUGUACAAUCUAAAACAUAUUUACAAAAAACAUAAAACUGUAGUAUGCAUUUUAAAAAAUCACUCCUUACUCUGAUGCCCCUAAAUUACAACCCAGUGCAACCAAUUGCCUUCAAAAGUCCUGUACUUGGUUUAAGCUCACAGAUGUUUAUUGUAGGCCUCUGAGGUUUAUAAAAGAACAUCAGUGAACAAACAGCUUCAUGAAGACAGAUGAACCCAGCAGACAGGUUUAAUUCAUCAUCAGAACAUGGAAAGAGUAUAGCACAAGUGCAAACCUUCCUAACAUGACAAACUGUCACCUGUUCCGUUUCCAGUUCGGACAAGUGAUGCAGCAGAGACAGAAAACAUGUGGAAGAAGGUGCUCUGCUCAGAGGAGACUAACAUUCAUAGCACUAUGAAUGGUAGUAAACUAACAACACAUGUCAACCUGAACACACCACCCCACUGUGAAACAUGGUGGUGGCAGCGUCAUGCUGUGGCAAUGCGCUUCCUCAGCAAGGAAAGGGGAGAUGGAGAUACAUGCAUUAUUACAUGAAUAUAAAUAAAUGUUACAUGAUGAACUUGAAAGGUUUUAAAUGAAUACCUGGAUGAUGACAUCAGCUGUAGAAUUUGCCACGUCGAUUUUUAGUUAAAACCUUUAAUAAUGCUUCAUCUGUGACAAAUGGAUCACGUUUUAUAGGUAGAAAAAA